AAAAAAUUUAAAUAUAAAAAAAGGACAAAGUCAUCGUACCAAAUACUUCUUCAGCUCUUUGUAGUUUGUGAUGAUGCCAUUGUGAAUGACCACAAAUUCUGGAAAAGACAAAAAAUAAAUGUUUGGUGGUUACUGGUGGUAUACUGGGAGGAAUGGGAAACUUGACACAGUAACCUUGGGGAGGAGGAGGCCUAAGCAUGAAGACCCAAUUGGGGGUCUUGGGGUCCAUAAGAAUAGGCAGCAUGAAUGACAGACUUGAAGACCCUGAGAUAGCAGGAGAACCGGACACUUGGGUUCAAAACCAGUGGUGUACUGGGAGGAAUGGGAAACUUGAACAAGCACAGUGACCCUGCUGGAAGAAAUAUAAGAGUGGAAUUCAAUUCUGUCAGGCAUUCAUGAUGAGGAGGAGGCCUAAGCAUG